rnacentral:rRNA from 1 species
AUUGAACGCUGGCGGCAGGCCUAACACAUGCAAGUCGAACGAGCGGCGGACGGGUGAGUAAUGUCUGGGAAACUGCCCGAUGGAGGGGGAUAACUACUGGAAAAGGUAGCUAAUACCGCAUACUAUCGGAUGUGCCCCUAUGGGAUUAGCUAGUAGGUGGGGUAAAGGCUCACCUAGGCGACGAUCCCUAGCUGGUCUGAGAGGAUGACCAGCCACACUGGGACUGAGACACGGUCCAGACUCCUACGGGAGGCAGCAGUGGGGAAUAUUGCACAAUGGGCGCAAGCCUGAUGCAGCCAUGCCGCGUGUAUGAAGAAGGCCUUCGGGUUGUAAAGUACUUUCAGCGAGGAGGCGUUACUCGCAGAAGAAGCACCGGCUAACUCCGUGCCAGCAGCCGCGGUAAUUC